UACGAACUGUGCGAACGUUAUUCGGAAUCACUGGGCUUAAAGGGUGCGUAGGCGGUUUUCUAAGUCACGUGUGAAAUCUUCUGGCUCAACCAGAAAACUGCGCGUGAUACUGGAGAACUUGAGUGAGGUAGGGGUGUGUGGAACUUCCGGUGGAGCGGUGAAAUGUGUAGAGAUCGGAAGGAACGCCAGCGGCGAAAGCGGCACACUGGGCCUUGUCUGACGCUGAGGCACGAAAGCUAGGGGAGUGAACGGG
rnacentral:rRNA from 1 species